AGAGUUUGAUCCUGGCUCAGAAUCAACGCUGGCGGCGCGCUUAACACAUGCAAGUCGCACGAGAAAGUCCGCAAGGAUGAGUAAAGUGGCGCACGGGUGAGUAACACGUGGAUGAUCUACCCUUUAGUGGGGAAUAACCCUGGGAAACCGGGGCUAAUACCGCAUAAGUCCGAGAGGAGAAAGCCGAAAGGCGCUGGAGGAGGAGUCCGCGGUCGAUUAGCUAGUUGGCGGGGUAAAAGCCCACCAAGGCUGCGAUCGAUAGCCGGCCUGAGAGGGCACACGGCCACACUGGCACUGAAACACGGGCCAGACUCCUACGGGAGGCAGCAGUGGGGAAUCUUGCACAAUGGGGGAAACCCUGAUGCAGCGACGCCGCGUGAGCGAUGAAGCCCUUCGGGGUGUAAAGCUCUUUCGACGGGAACGAUAAUGACGGUACCCGGAGAAGAAGCUGCGGCUAACUACGUGCCAGCAGCCGCGGUAAUACGUAGGCAGCGAGCGUUGUUCGGAAUUACUGGGCGUAAAGAGUGCGUAGGCGGUGCUCUAAGUUUGGUGUGAAAUCUCCCGGCUUAACUGGGAGGGUGCGCCGAAGACUGGAGUGCUUGAGUGUGGGAGAGGAAAGCGGAAUUCCUGGUGUAGCGGUGAAAUGCGUAGAUAUCAGGAGGAACACCUGCGGUGUAGACGGCUUUCUGGACCACGACUGACGCUGAGGCACGAAAGCGUGGGUAGCAAACAGGAUUAGAUACCCUGGUAGUCCACGCCCUAAACGAUGCAUACUUGGUGUGGGCAGUUCAUUCUGUCCGUGCCGGAGCUAACGCGUUAAGUAUGCCGCCUGGGGAGUACGGUCGCAAGGCUGAAACUCAAAUGAAUUGACGG
rnacentral:rRNA from 1 species